rnacentral:rRNA from 1 species
GAUCCUGGCUCAGAACGUACGCUGGCGGCACGCCUAACACAUGCAAGUCGAACGCAGUAGCAAUACUGAGUGGCAAACGGGUGAGUAUAAUGUGGGAAUCUGCCUUUUGGUUUGGAAUAACACGGGGAAACUUGUGCUAAUACCGAAUAAGCCCUUACGGGGAAAGUUUUAAUGCCGAAAGAUGAGCCUGCACUUGAUUAGCUAGUUGGUAAGGUAAAGGCUUACCAAGGCAACGAUCAAUAGCUGUUCUUAGAGGAAGACCAGCCACAUUGGGACUGAGACACGGCCCAGACUCCUACGGGAGGCAGCAGUGGGGAAUCUUGCACAAUGGGGGAAACCCUGAUGCAGCGAUGCCGCGUGAGUGAAGAAGGCCUUUGGGUUGUAAAACUCUUUCGUCGGGGAAGAAAAUGACUGUACCCGAAUAAGAAGGUCCAGCUAACUUCGUGCCAGCAGCCGCGGUAAUACGAAGGGACCUAGCGUAGUUCGGAAUUACUGGGCUUAAAGAGCUCGUAGGUGGUUAAAAAAGUUGAUGGUGAAAUCCCAAGGCUCAACCUUGGAACUGCCAUCAAAACUUUUUAGCUAGAGUGUGAUAGAGGUAAGUGGAAUUUCUAGUGUAGAGGUGAAAUUCGUAGAUAUUAGAAAGAACACCAAAUGCGAAGGCAACUUACUGGGUCACUACUGACACUGAGGAGCGAAAGCAUGGGUAGCGAAGAGGAUUAGAUACCCUCGUAGUCCAUGCCGUAAACGAUGUGUGCUAGACGUUGGGAAUAUAUUUUUCAGUGUCGCAGCGAAAGCAUUAAGCACACCGCCUGGGGAGUACGA